AGCGAACGCUGGCGGCAGGCCUAACACAUGCAAGUCGAACGAACCUUUCGGGGUUAGUGGCGGACGGGUGAGUAACACGUGGGAACGUGCCUUUAGGUUCGGAAUAACUCAGGGAAACUUGUGCUAAUACCGAAUGUGCCCUUCGGGGGAAAGAUUAAUCGCCUUUAGAGCGGCCCGCGUCUGAUUAGCUAGUUGGUUGAGGUAAUGGCUCACCAAGGCGACGAUCAGUAGCUGGUCUGAGAGGAUGAUCAGCCACAUUGGGACUGAGACACGGCCCAAACUGCAGGGGGGGGCAGGGGCGGGAAAUGGACGGGAAGGGGGGAAAGGCAGGCGGGGCCAUGCAGGGAGAAGGAGGAAGUGCUGGGCAUUGUAAGUCUCCUCCACCGGAGGCGAUAAUGGGCGUGGAGGGAGAAGAAGCCCCGGCUCACCUCGGGGUCGCGGCGGCGGUAAUAAGAGGAGGGCACCGGGUCUUACC
rnacentral:rRNA from 1 species